UCCAGUCACUUGUCAAUUUCAGUGCUGGCGCUGAUCAGUGAUGGCUGCAAAUCAAUUCACAGCGAUUCGACAUUGAAAAGAAAGAGUUUCACCUGCACAGCGGCCGCAGCCGAAUGAAAUCAGACUAAAUAAACAAGUCUGCUGGAACUAAAGGAGGUUGUGUGCGAAACAAUUAGCACAAACAUCUGCCUGAGUGCCCAUGGUGUUUUUAAUAUAAUUAAAAAGAGUUCUCCUUGAUCCCACUGGAUACACUGUAAUCCAUUGAUAAUCUGGUGCACACUGGCAGUGACGGAUUUGAGAUACAGCCAAAUGGAGACAUGUUGAGCAACAGUUGUGGAAAUCCUGCUCCCGUGGUCAGUGCUAAGAAGUUUGCUAGAUGUUACCAUUCUGGUGUGGUUACUUAGGUGAACAGCAGCAAGGUAAAAGGUCACACUGAGCUUGCAACAGGUGUCAGCCAUGCAGCCUUUCUAAAAGGAGACUGAUAAUUGGAAACAACGUAUGGUUAAAAGCGAACAACUGGUGAGAGAAGGCUUCAAGCUAUAGAUCUUACAUCCACGUUUUUGUUUGUCAUAAUGAAAAUUUCUGUUCUCCUUCUGGUUGGGAUAUAUUCAGAAAGAUGCAUUGUGUCAAUAUAGUCCAGCCUUUUAGAAAUAUGUGUACAUCCACUUUAAUUUUGCAAAGCAAAACCUUUGGGUGCACAGGGCAGCGAUAAUUUGGUCAACGCUACUGCCGCUGAUCAUUUGCCAAGAGCUUGCGUGGACAGGGAAGAUUUACCACAAACAAAUUUGGUUGGUGCUUAUGAAUAAGUAUGCUGUUUUAUAAUGUGCUUGCUUUAAUGAACUGAAUACAUUUAUUUAGACUGAAAUAAAAGUCUCUGUAAAAUAAAAUUAAACUUGAUGCUGCAUUGCCCAGCCCAGUUGGCACAUUUGUUCCUCUGAUAUCGACACUUUAAAGGUGCUGAAAGGCUCUCGACACAAUAGCCUUAAUUGUAAUUCAAGUACUUGUGAUAUUUUGGUAACAAUUACUAUUGAUUUUACAAUUUGUUUACAGAGAUGUUGUUUUAUUACUAAUAUAUUUAAUGUACAAAUCAAUAGGAACACUUGUUUGGCUCACU